UACGGGGGGGGGCAAGCGUUGUUCGGAAUUACUGGGCGUAAAGGGCUCGUAGGUGGCCAACUAAGUCAGACGUGAAAUCCCUCAGCUUAACUGGGGAACUGCGUCUGAUACUGGAUGGCUUGAGUUUGGGAGAGGGAUGCGGAAUUCCAGGUGUAGCGGUGAAAUGCGUAGAUAUCUGGAGGAACACCGGUGGCGAAGGCGACAUCCUGGACCGGUAUUGACGCUGAGGCGACGAAAGCCAGGGGAGCAAACGGG
rnacentral:rRNA from 1 species